UACAGAGGUCCCAAGCGUUGUUCGGAUUCAUUGGGCGUAAAGGGUGCGUAGGCGGCGCGGUAAGUCGGGUGUGAAAUCUCGGAGCUUAACUCCGAAACUGCAUUCGAUACUGCCGUGCUUGAGGACUGGAGAGGAGACUGGAAUUUACGGUGUAGCGGUGAAAUGCGUAGAUAUCGUAAGGAAGACCAGUGGCGAAGGCGGGUCUCUGGACAGUUCCUGACGCUGAGGCACGAAGGUCAGGGGAGCAAACGGGA
rnacentral:rRNA from 1 species